UAAAGACUCUCAACAACGGAUAUCUAGGCUCUCGCAUCGAUGAAGAACGUAGCGAAAUGCGAUACUUGGUGUGAAUUGCAGAAUCACGUGAAUCAUCGAGUUUUUGAACGCAAGUUGCGCCUGAAGCCAUUAGGUUGAGGGCACGUCUGCCUGGGCGUUACACA
rnacentral:rRNA from 1 species